GCGGGAGUGGUGGAAUUGGUAGACACGCUGGAUUUAGGUUCCAGUGUUGUGAAAAACGUGAGAGUUCGAAUCUCUCCUUCCGCA
rnacentral:tRNA from 1 species